rnacentral:rRNA from 1 species
UGGGGAAUAUUGGACAAUGGGCGCAAGCCUGAUCCAGCCAUGCCGCGUGAGUGAUGAAGGCCAUAGGGUUGUAAAGCUCUUUCACCGGUGAAGAUAAUGACGGUAACCGGAGAAGAAGCCCCGGCUAACUUCGUGCCAGCAGCCGCGGUAAUACGAAGGGGGCUAGCGUUGGUCGGAUUUACUGGGCGUAAAGCACACGUAGGCGGACUUUUAAGUCAGGGGUGAAAACCAGGGGCUCAACCCCGGAACUGCCUUUGGUACUGGAAGGCUUGAGUAGGGGAGAGGGGAGUGGAAUUCCGAGUGGAGAGGUGAAAUUCGUAGAUAUUCGGGGGAACACCAGUGGCGAAGGCGGCGCACUGGACCAUUACUGACGCUGAGGUGCGAAAGCGUGGGGAGCAAACAGG